rnacentral:rRNA from 1 species
UACGGAGGGUGCGAGCGUUGUCCGGAAUCACUGGGCGUAAAGGGCGCGUAGGCGGCCUGAUAAGUAGGAGGUGAAAUCCUGCGGCUUAACCGCAGGGCUGCCUUCUAAACUGUCAGGCUCGAGCACAGUAGAGGCAGGUGGAAUUCCCGGUGUAGCGGUGGAAUGCGUAGAUAUCUGGAGGAACACCGGUGGCGAAGGCGGCAUCCUGGACCGACACUGACGCUGAGGCGCGAAAGCCAGGGGAGCAAACGGG